rnacentral:rRNA from 1 species
CUGAGGUUAGAUGCUGGCCCUGUGAGGGCAUGUGCGCACCUCUCUCUCACAUACCCCUUGGUCGGGGAUGCCUUUCCCUCGGGAAGGGCGUUCCCUUCCACCCUAUACCACAUCCUGUCUAACCGCAUGUCUUUGAAGCUCUACGGAGCGAGUAACAUUUUGUACAACUUUCAACAACGGAUCUCUUGGCUUUUGCAUCGAUGAAGGACGCCGCGAAAGCGCGAAACGUAAUGUGAAUUGCAGAAUUCAGUGAAUCAUCGAAUCUUUGAACGCAUCUUGCGCCCCUCGGUAUUCCGAGGAGCAUGCCUGUUUGAGUGUCGUGAAACUACUCGACCCCUCCUUUACGUGCACGUGAAGGGGGCGGUUGGAUUUGGACGCUUGCGGCGGUCUAGACCACUGGACCACCGCUCGUUUUUAAUGCCUUAGCUYGGCCCCCUUUCGAAUCGGCGAUAUGGACGGUGUGAUAAUUGACGCCUUGAACGUCGUCUGGCCGAUUUGGAUUUGGGUUGCUCGUCUUCGGACAACGUCACAUUCAUU